rnacentral:rRNA from 1 species
AACGAACGCUGGCGGCAUGCCUAACACAUGCAAGUCGAACGAAGCCUUCGGGCUUAGUGGCGCACGGGUGCGUAACGCGUGGGAAUCUGCCCUUGGGUUCGGAAUAACAGUUAGAAAUGACUGCUAAUACCGAAUGAUGUCUUCGGACCAAAGAUUUAUCGCCCAAGGAUGAGCCCGCGUCGGAUUAGCUAGUUGGUGAGGUAAAGGCUCACCAAGGCGACGAUCCGUAGCUGGUCUGAGAGGAUGAUCAGCCACACUGGGACUGAGGACACGGCCCAGACUCCUACGGGAGGCAGCAGUGGGGAAUAUUGGACAAUGGGCG